UACACUUCGUGCUCGUCGUGUCGCACCUUCUUCUUCUCUCUAAAGGAAUAAAUGAAGAGAAAGUUCCUCCCUCUGCCACCAGAGGGCGACACAUCCCCUCGUUUUGAAGUGCUUCCUGUUUGCUGUUAAGUUUCACUUCGUGCUCGUCGUGUCGCACCUUCUGCUUCUCUCUAAAGGAAUAAAUGAAGAGAAAGUUCCUCCCUCUGCCACCAGAGGGCGACACAUCCCCUCGUUUUGAAGUGCUUCCUGUUUGCUGUUAAGUUUCACUUCGUGCUCGUCGUGUCCAAGCCCCCAGGAAGUGCGCCGGACUCAGAUGAAAAUAUUCGUGCUGGCCAAACGGCGGU